rnacentral:rRNA from 1 species
AUUGAACGCUGGCGGCAGGCCUAACACAUGCAAGUCGAACGGUAACAGGAAGAUUCUUUCUUCUUUGCUGACGGGUGGCGGACGGGUGAGUAAUGUCUGGGAAACUGCCUGAUGGAGGGGGAUAACUACUGGAAACGGUAGCUAAUACCGCAUAACUUCGCAAGCCCAAAGAGGGUGACCUUCGUGCCUCUUGCCAUCGUGUGUUCCCAGAUGGGCUUAGCUUGAAGGUGGGGUAACGGCUCACCUAGGCGACGAUCCCUAGCUGGUCUGAGAGGAUGAACGGCCACACUGGAAGUUGGCCACGGUCAAGACUCCUACGGGAGGCAGCAGUGGGGAAUAUUGCACAAUGGGGGCAAGCCUGAUGCAGCCAUGGCGAGUGUAUGAAGAAGGCCUUCGGGUUGUAAAGAACUUUCAGCGGGGGGGAAGGGAGUAAAGUUAAUACCUUUGCUCAUUGACGUUAACCGGAGAAGAAGCACCGGCUAACUACGUG